CACACACAGAAACACACACACACACACACACACACACACACACACACACACAGGCGCACACACACACACACACACACACACACAGAAACACAUACACACACACACACACAGACACACAUUUCUCAUGUAGCUGACGGUUUAGACUGGAUAGUUCCCUCCUGCCCGCGCACGUACAAAGAAAACAGAGAGAGAAGGAAAUAAGCUCUACCGGCCGGCCGGCAAUUUCCUUGAAGCGUUUGUUGGUGUUAGUUGGGAGAGACUGGCGGCUUCCUCGGUCACUGCAGAGACGCUGCAGCAACUGGCAGUGUAGGAAGCGGCCACACACUGGCUGGUGCAGCGGAGAAAGCAGCAGGCGAAAAAAAAUCACUUUUUCUCCUUUUGCCAAAUCCAAGACCAACUUCCACUCAACACCGGCUCCAGAGACUGGAAGACUUGAUGCAAGUUUCCACGGCUACCUGCAGAUGAAGGGGAAGAUAAAGAUUGUGUGAUUAAGUGCCAGCCUCCUGCUUGGCAGUGCCUCUGCUUAACAUCACUCAAGACGACAGACCGACUGACGGAAAUGAAUGUCUUUCUGGGAGAAGGGAAGGAACAAGAUUUAUCUACUGACUGCCCUUGGCUUCCAGACAGAAGGUACAUUUUCCACAGUUUAUUGCCAACUUAUCAUUGACCCAAAUGUCUGGAGUAACUCAGCGGGACAAGCAGCAUCUCUGGAGAGAGGGAAUGGGUGACGUUUCGGGUCGAGAGACCCUUCUUCAGACUGGUUUGGUGAUAAGGGAAACAAGAGAUAUUGACGGUGAUGUAGAGAGAUUUAAGUACAAAGAAAAUGAAAGAUAUGCAAAAAUGUAAUGACCAUAAAGGAAACUGGCUAGUGUUACACCCCAGCGGUAUGAACAUUGACCUCCAAUUUCAGGUAGUCCCUGCUUUCUCCCUCCUUCCCCUCCCCUUCCCAGCUCUCCCACAGCCCACUGUCUCCACCUCUUCCUUUCUUCUUCCCCUCCCCACAUCAGUCUGAAGAAGGGUCUCGACCCGAACCUUCGCUCCACAGAUGCUGCCGCACUCGCUGAGUUUCUCCAGCAUUUUUGUCUACCUUCGAUUUUUCCAGCAUCUGCAGUUCUUUCUUAAACAUUGUUAGGUGUUUGUUGGGUGAAAACUACUUGGGUGGGGGGAGGGAUAGAGAGAGGGAGGGAAUGCCGGGGCUACCUGAAGUGAGAGAAAUCAAUAUUCAUACCACUGGGCUGUAAGCUGCCCAAGCGAAAUAUGAGAUGCUGUUCCUCCAAUGUGCGUUUAGCCUCACUCCGACAAUGGAGGAGACCCAAGGACAGAAAGAUCUGUGCAGGAAUGGGAAGAAGAAUUAAAAUGUUUAGCAACCGGACAACUUAUGCCCGUUUGCAAGGAAUAAUUCAUGAAACAAAAUACAGUGCUGAUUUGAAAACCUUUUUCUGGGCUCAAGCAAUCUGUCAUAAGAUGGUGAAUCUGUGGAAUUCAUUGCCACAGACGGCUGUGGAGGCCAAGUCCGUGGAUGUAUUCUUAACGUAGAGAUGGAUAGAUUCUUGAUUAGUACGGGUGUCGGGGGUUACGGGGAGAAGGCAGGAGAAUGGGGUUAGGAGGGAGAGAUUGAUCAGCAUAUGAUUGAAUGGCGGAGUAGACUUUUUUUUAACAUUUUAAUUUAUUAGAAGUAAGUACAGUCAUAUGGCACCAAAGUGCCUAAUAUAUUUUUUCAUAAUACAUUUUAUGUACAAUUUUUUUUUUUUUGUUACAUUGAAAAAAGAUUAGAAUAAGAAAAAGAAGUUGGCGGAGUAGACUUGAUGGGCCGAAUGGCCUAACUCUGCACCUAUCACAUGAUCACACCUUCCUACCAGAUUGUGUGUGUAAUUGUCGAAUUGUCUUAAUCGACCCUUUGAAAGGGGAGGCACGGUGGCGCAGCGGUAGAGUUGCUGCCUUACAGCACCAGA